rnacentral:rRNA from 1 species
CCUACGGGAGGCAGCAGUGAGGAAUAUUGGUCAAUGGGCGAAAGCCUGAACCAGCCAAGUCGCGUGAGGGAGUACUGCCCUAUGGGUUGUAAACCUCUUUUGUCGGGGGGCAAAAGCCGGACGUGUCCGGCUGUGAGAGUACCCGGAGCAAAAGCAUCGGCUAAAUCCGUGCCAACAGCCGCGGUAAUACGGGGGAUGCGAGCGUUAUCCGGAUUUAUUGGGUUUAAAGGGUGCGCAGGCGGAUUUUUAAGUCAGCGGUCAAAGCGUGGGGCUCAAACCCAUCCAGCCGUUGAAACUGGGGAUCUAGAGUGGGCGAGAGGUAUGCGGAAUGCGGGGUGGAGCGGUGAAAUGCAUAGAUAUCACGCAGAACCCCGAUUGCGAAGGCAGCAUACCGGUGCAAAACUGACGCUCAGGCACGAAAGCGUGGGUAUCGAACAGGAUUAGAUACCCGUGUAGUC